rnacentral:rRNA from 1 species
AGAACGAACGCUGGCGGCAUGCCUAAUACAUGCAAGUCGAACGAAGGCUUCGGCCUUAGUGGCGCACGGGUGCGUAACGCGUGGGAAUCUGCCCCUUGGUUCGGAAUAACAGUUGGAAACGACUGCUAAUACCGGAUGAUGACGAAAGUCCAAAGAUUUAUCGCCAAGGGAUGAGCCCGCGUAGGAUUAGCUAGUUGGUGAGGUAAAGGCUCACCAAGGCGACGAUCCUUAGCUGGUCUGAGAGGAUGAUCAGCCACACUGGGACUGAGACACGGCCAGACUCCUACGGGAGCAGCAGUAGGGAAUAUUGGACAAUGGGCGAAAGCCUGAUCCAGCAAUGCCGCGUGAGUGAUGAAGGCC